rnacentral:rRNA from 1 species
UAAUACAUAAGUAACCUGCCCUAGACAGGGGGAUAACUAUUGGAAACGAUAGCUAAGACCGCAUAGGUACGGACACUGCAUGGUGACCGUAUUAAAAGUGCCUCAAAGCACUGGUAGAGGAUGGACUUAUGGCGCAUUAGCUGGCUGGCGGGGUAACGGCCCACCAAGGCGACGAUGCGUAGCCGACCUGAGAGGGUGACCGGCCACACUGGGACUGAGACACGGCCCAG